rnacentral:rRNA from 1 species
GCAUGGUUGUCGUCAGCUCGUGUCGUGAGAUGUUGGGUUAAGUCCCGCAACGAGCGCAACCCUUAAGCUUAGUUGCCAUCAUUAAGUUGGGCACUCUAGGUUGACUGCCGGUGACAAACCGGAGGAAGGUGGGGAUGACGUCAAAUCAUCAUGCCCCUUAUGAUUUGGGCUACACACGUGCUACAAUGGACAAUACAAAGGGCAGCUAAACCGCGAGGUCAUGCAAAUCCCAUAAAGUUGUUCUCAGUUCGGAUUGUAGUCUGCAACUCGACUACAUGAAGCUGGAAUCGCUAGUAAUCGUAGAUCAGCAUGCUACGGUGAAUACGUUCCCGGGUCUUGUACACACCGCCCGUCACACCACGAGAGUUUGUAACACCCGAAGCCGGUGGAGUAACCAUUUAUGGAGCUAGCCGUCGAAGGUGGGACAAAUGAUUGGGGUGAAGUCGUAACAAGGUAGCCGUAUCGGAAGGUGCGGCUGGAUCACCUC